rnacentral:lncRNA from 1 species
AUACCCACAAGCACCUGGUCAGAAUUGAGCAGCCCGACAGGAACCUUCCUGCCCUGACCCCCAGCAAACAGCGGUAAGAGGGAUUUGCCACGACCUUCCAGGAAAUCAGGUGCUAAUGAUAGAGAUCAAAGUGGAAGGAAAGGAGUGAAUUCUCCCUCCAGGUGCCAUAGAUGACAUCUUUUUAGAUGGAUCUUUUGUUUCGCCUUUAAGGAUUUACCCACUCCCUGAAUGAUAAGGAUCCUCCUAAUCAACUUUCUGAGCCCUGCUCAAGCACUACCUAUUUAUGAAGUCUUUCCUAGAAAUUUCUACCUGCAAUGUCUUAUUAAA